rnacentral:lncRNA from 1 species
CAGAUUGGAAGUUUUUUUGUCGACGGGUACGCAGAGUGUAACGGUGUGAAAAAGGCAUGGGAAUUUCACGGUUGUUUCUACCACGGAUGUUUGCAAUGUUUUAACCCCGCAGAGACAUGUCCAAUGAGGAGGGUUAGAUUCGGUCAACUGCACGCGCGCAGUGAAGAACGACUGGAAGAGUUAAAGACAAAACACGACGUCGUCGUCGUAUUAAUGAGAGAGCACGAAUGGGAUGAAAUUAAAAAAUCACACACCGAAGUUAAAGAGUUUAUCCAAAGGUAUAAUGCUCCCGAGUCUCUUUACCCCCGCGACGCGCUUUAUGGUGGAAGAACUAGCGCUUUAAAGCUGAGACACACAGCGGGUUCUGAUGAAACUGUCCACUACGUAGACGUGACAUCCCUCUAUCCUUAUGUAAACAGUACAUGCUCCUACCCAGUUGGCCAUCCUACAGUCAUAUACAAAGAUUUUGACGACCCUUCGACCUACUACGGUCUGAUCAAGGCUACAGUGUACCCACCCCGCCGUCUUUUCUUCCCUGUGUUGCCUUACAAAAGUUUAUGCGGUAAACUUCUUUUCACACUUUGCCGCACAUGCGCAGAAAGCAAUAAUCAAGAGGGUUCCUGUGAACACGACGAUGACGCAAGAGCUCUAACGGGUGUCUGGGUCACGCUCGAAUUUAACAAAGCCCUGGCAAUGGGCUACAGAGUGAGUAAGAUUACAGAAGUGUGGCAUUUUGACAAGAGCAGCGAUACCGUCUUUACAAGUUACAUGCAUACAUUUUUGAAAGGCAAACAGGAAGCGUCCGGGUACCCUCCAGAGGCUACAGAUAAUGACAGUAGGGAACGUUACAUCAGGGACUAUAACGAACAGCAGAAUAUUCUUUUAGAUGCAAACAAAAUUGAGGUCAACCCUGCAAAGAGACAAGUUGCUAAACUGUGUCUUAACAGUUUGUGGGGUAAAUUUGCACAAAGGGAUAAUUUACUUAAAACCAACAUCGUCACAACACCUGAUGAAUUUUUUAAGUACUUGUUUUCAGGUCAAUACAAAAUAGAGUACUAUGACGUUCUUGACAACGACAGAGCUCUAAUCAAAUGGAAAUACACCGACAAGUGCAUCCACCCCCCAAGUAAACAGAGUAAUGUUUUUAUCGCAGCAUUCACC